GCGGAAGUGGUGGAAUUGGUAGACACACUGGAUUUAGGUUCCAGCGCCGCAAGGCGUGAGAGUUCGAGUCUCUCCGUCCGCACCA
rnacentral:tRNA from 1 species